AAACAGAUUGUAGCGUGGGGCUGGCUGGCCGUAAAUUACGUGUCUGUAAAGUCUACCGCCAGAUUAACACAAUGUAUCAGAUUUUUUUGUUGUAUAAUAGUUCAUUCAUUUCGGACAUUGGCAUUUAAUUUCGUUCUGUUUUCACAUGGCAGCCUAUCCAAGAUCAUGAUCCGUUUAUGAAUUGUGAUCUUAUGGAUGGGAGAGAUGCAUAUUUUUAACAAUGUCAGGUGAAUGCCAUUAGGAAUUUUCAUAGUUGACAACAGCCAAGUUCUCCACAAUGUCAAUGCGUAAUGAACUUCAUAACCAAGCUCAAAGUGCAUUUGGAUGUACAUGCAGUAACUGUAAGGAUCAUGUAGAAACACGUUACCACUGCAAUGUUUGUGAUGAUUUUGACCUGUGCGUUCAGUGCUAUGAGAAAAACGGACAUCCUCAUAGCAUGGAGAAACGCGGUAUGGAUGAUGACAUCUCGUACUCAAAUUUGAAGAAAGCAUAUCCUCAGGAGGCGCGGAAACUUUCUAUAAAACGUUGCAUCCAGAAAUUAGUACAUGCGUGCCAGUGCCAUAAUGUCAACUGUUGCCAGCCCGGCUGUCAGAAGAUGAAACGAGUUGUACGGCAUACAAAAGUAUGUAAAAGUAAGACAAAAGGUGGCUGCAGUGUAUGCAAACAGCUUGUUGCAAUUGGCUGUUACCAUUCAAAGCAUUGCCAGAUACACAUUCACAGCUAUAUCCUUACAAGGAAGAAAAGGAAAACACUGUCAGGUGAAAGAAAAAUUCAGUUGUUGCAAAGUACAGCAGCAGUGCAGCGUGCAGGAGAAAGAUUCUCGCUGUCUAGCUAUAACAAGCCACUCAGAAAGAGAAGGGGAUGUGCAGAGAGGCUGAAAAUUGGGCAGCCUUCCUACAUGGAACCAAAAUGUUCAGUGCCAUUCUGUCCCAACAUCAAACAUACGCUGAAGCAGCAUAAAAUUCAGCAAGUAGAUAACCUACAAAGGCGAAUGGCAGCAAUGAACAUCAGGACAACAGUACCUGUUGGUCUACUACCAGGCAGUUCAGGGGUGCUGGGUGUUGGUGGUGCAGGUUCAGCAGUUACUCCAGUGGGUGAUUUUACACCAGCAACAUCAGGUGCUGGCAUUUGGGUUGGUUUGCAGCCUUCACAUCGAUCAGACAUUAGUGGUUUGAAGCCUGAUGCACAGACUCCCAGUGCACAUUGUGAAAUAGAAAACCAGAGCAUUCAGAAAGAAAACUGAAAGCAUACAAAUUUGGAGCUCUGCGUGCAAAGUGGUAAACAUCAUUAGGAAAACAACUUUGCGAUCUGGUGAUAAUGUCAUGGAAAACAACACAAAUGGAAACAUUUCCUCGAAAGCUGGGGCAUGCAGUUGAUUAUGGAACAAGAUAUGCAGAUCGAGGAUUGAGGCAGUUGUUAAAGUCACACCUCAGGUACCCCAAUUGGCUGCUCUUGGUGUAGUAGGGCACGAGGAAUUCGCAGUGCUCUUGAUGUGACAACACAUUGUGCAGCCAGGGGCCUGGAUACAGUUUACAAAAGUAGACCCUCCAGCAACUACUGCAAAAAUGUCAUGAAACACUCCAUAACAACAGCAACAGGUCCUCCAGAUUCUCAAAAGCAAUCUACCGCUGGUGGCAGCAUUUAUUAAAUAGCGUCAGGCAUCCCAAAACCUGCCGUAGCAACAAGUUGCUGUGGCACAAGCUGCAGCUGCUCAGCAGCAGGUAGCACUUACUGGAACAAAUACUGGUGUUCUCUCAACAGGAGAGCAACAGCAGCUAAUAUUCAGCUGCUGCAGCAACAGCAGCUAAAUUUCACCAGCAGCAGCAGGUAGCAGCUGCAAGUAGAUAGCAGUGGAUGCGAGCCAUGAUUCUGGGCCAAAUGACGCUGGCCACACUACAUCAUUGAUACAAGCAGCAGCAGCAGCAGCAGCAGCCGUAGUUAUUGGCCCUGCAGAGACAUUAGUCUUUUUCUCAACCUCCAUCUCUUGAUAAUGGACAACAGCAGUGGAGACUUUGGCAGCAGCAUUUGGCUGGUGCAUGUGCAUGUGCAUGUGCCUGUUUUCCCACAGUUCCUGAACAACACCCGGCAAAGUGUCAGCAGCAGCAGCAUCAUCCUCCUCCUAUGAAACACACGCUUCCACCUGCUCCAUCACCAUAGGGUGUUACGGUCCCACCAGGUGGAGCUCUGAAGUUGAUGCAGGCUGUGGAAUCCUCUCUCCACUGAUUACUUCCCAUCGCUCAAAACCUAGGCUGCAUCAGCGCCAUCACCUCGAAAUCAUCCAGUGCCAUCUCCUCAUUGUGGCCGCCGGCCCCCCCAAUACACACCAGCAUCAUUCACAGUCAACACUCUCCAGUUCAUGAACUAAUGGGGGGAGAAACAAUGCUUACACAGAGACAUGGACCUGUCUCACACCACCCUUCGUGGUGCAAAUGCUCAAGAUCCAAGUGACUCAAUGAAGUACUGCCAACGACUCCUCAGGAAAAGCUUAAUAAGUUUGUGGAACCAUCAUAAUAAUACCAAUGCCAUAACAUGUAUGUAAAUUUUGUUGUGUCUGUUUUUCAUAUGAUAAAAACAACAUGUACUUUCAUGAAAGUUUGGAAGUACAUGGCAAGCUUUUUGACAGGUGGGAAAUGUGUCAAAUCCCAGUUGCACAGGAACUGUGAAGUGUGUAGUGAGAAGUAUUCAUAUGUACAGCAGCUCCCAUGUGGUGCACUGUAUUAGCGUAUGAAGAUAGAGAACUACCAACUGCAUCCUAAUAUCUACUGUGUCCUGUGUGUAGUGUCUGUGUAUAAAUAAAAAUGUGCAAUAUGUGGUACCUGUCCCAACCCCUCCCUCCAUAAUUGUACUGUAUUUUGUUUAAGUCUUUGAACCGUACUAAUCCCAAAGGUGAGGAAGGAAAAACCGUACUGCCUAUUUCAUGUUUGUCUUGCCAUCUGUGUGUGGUGACAUUUCAGUUGUAAAUAGUGAGUGAUUAAAUUAGUGUAGUGGAAAAAGGGAAGGGCAAGGGGAAGGGGAAGGCACUGUGAACUUUGUAAACUCUAUGAAUUAUUGGCUUAGCAAGUGUGUGUGUGUGUGUGUGUGUGUGUGUGUGUGUGUGUGUGUGUGUGGACGCGCACACCCGCACCCAGGUAUUAAAGGCGUAAUACUAGGAUACUGAGAUAUGUUACACAAUUAAACAUCAGAACCAAUAGUAAAUAUCUAUGUUCAAAGUGCAGGAAAGAAAUUAUACUUAGUAAACUAUAAGUAAAUUAAAUUUAAUUAAUGAAAGAGAAUGAACUUCAAUGCACCAAAAUGAAUAGAAUUUGGUACACUCAUUGUACAAAAUGAACAAACAAACAAAAAAUUGAUGUUUUCUGCUAUUACAAAUCCAUGUUAACUGUGUUAGUCAGGCUGAUCUCGUAAAUGAGAGGUAAUGUAAUUCAAGCUGCAGUACUUUGCACAUGCCCUUUCCUUUGUAAAGGAAAGAAGGUGAUAAUAGUGAAAUACUACUUGUAUCCAUGUAUAAUGUUCGACUUUAGUCAAAUAAAAUUUGUGUAGUUUAGUGAUAAAGAAAGAAAAACAGAUUUGGAGCUCAGAGCAGUAUGAGGUCUGUUAGAAAAGUAGCCAAUGUUUAAUUUUUACCACCUGUAAUGCCAUCAGUUACUGGCAAGCAGCAGUUAAGUGAGGUAGUGUGUAGUGCUCACAUACGUUUUUCAUUGCAAGGGAAGUUACGGAACAACUAGAGCAGCAGUACUGCAUCAGAUUUUGCCAGAAACUGGGCGACAGCCAUUUGGAAGAUUCAAAUGGCUUUCGGUGACAGUACUGUGGGCAUCACACAGAUUAAGGAGUGGUACAACUUGUUUAAAGAAGGCUGCAGAUUGGUGGAAAGUGAGCUACACUCUGGUUGCCGUUGACGUGCUGAAAUGACCAGGUCAUUGCCAAAAUAAACACUGUGAUGAUGCAGGACCAUCGUGUGACUAUCACAGAAACUGUGGAAGAGGUGUGUAACAGCACUCUUUUGGCGCAUUCCAUUGUGACCAAAGAUUUGGCCAUGAAGAGAGUGUUGGCAAAAUUUGUGCUGAAGCUGUUGAUGAUGGAGCAAAAGUGACUUCAUGUUGAAGUCUCACAGACUUUGUGAACACCAUAAUCACAGGUGACGAGUCCUGGGUAUACAGGAACAACCUGGAAAGCAAAUCCCAGUUAGAGGCAAUAUUCUUCAUCACCAAGACCAAAGAACACCUGUCAAGUGCACAGCAAUGUCAAAGUAAUGCUGACUGCUUUUUUUGACCUCUGCAGUAUGGUACACCAAGAGUAUGCACUCAAACAGUAACCAAAGAGUACUACAGGAUUGUCCUCCAUCAUCUAUGUGAUACCUGAUGCUGUUUGGUGCAAGAGACCAAACCUGUAGGCAACAGGAAAUUGGUGACUGUCACAACAGUGAUUCAGCACAUUCCUCACACUCAGUUCAGACUUUGUGGUGAAAAAACUACAUUGCUGUGCUUCAGCCAGCUCCUUACUCUCAUCAUACAGCAACUUACGGCUGUUCCCCAAACUCGAGGGACCAUUGAAAGGAAUGCAGUUUCAGACUAGAGGACAUUUUGGCAGCAAUGACAGUCAAGCUAAACUCCAUUUCGAAAGAGGGUCUUUUGGCUUGCUUCCAACAGUUGUGGCACCUAUAGGAGAAGUGUGUGCAGUCCCAAGGGAAUUACUUUGAGAGUGAUUAGCUAUCCAGCACACCAGGCUAGCCAAUUUUUUUCCUGGCCAAAGAUCGCAUACUACUUUAACAGACCUCGUAGAUGUACAACUUAAUUCCCAGUGCAAACGACAUUCUACCCAGCAUUCUUUUGUCAGGUAAAGUAAUAAUAUGGUCAGUAGAAUUACAGACUCAUAUCAUCAGUGUCUUCAGCGUUACCACAAAUUACAUGUUAAUGACCCCAUUUGUUCUGGGAAUGCAUUACAUGUGAGGUUUCUACUUAGCUCCAUCGCCAUGGGUGGAAUGAUUUAGAGUUCUGUUAAUUUUGACCAACCUGCAGUUUCUAAAAUGUCCUCUGUUGUCCUGAGGCUGAAAUUAGCUUUUAGCAAGGAGCCAAACAUAAAUAACUGGUUCUUUUACUGUUCAGGGAUGCCACUAUUGUUUAUUUAAGAUGAAAACAAACUGCAUGUAACAAAUUUUAUCUAUUCUCUUUUGAACAAAUUACUCGUAAUUAAUCUAGUUACAAACUUUAUCUUGUGAUACCAUUAAUUGAUUAGGUGUUAUGGAUUCUUAAAAUGCUCUGGUUCAUUACUCCUGCACAAAAUUAAGAAUUGACGACCAUGCCAUACAACACAUCUGUACCCCUUGAUUAACCCUCUACCUGAUUAGACAGCACUGCUGCUGCUACUUCGUUUGGGAGCCUGGUCUGUGUGUAUUUCCAAAGACACCUGAAGAGCUUCAUCUUCCUUUUUGUUUAGCUUUUGUUAUGUUUUACGUGUAAUUUUGACUUUUGAAAUAAUUAGUUGAUAGCUUGGUAUGUAGAGAUACCUAUUCGAGAAAGUUAAGUUUAAUGUACCGUUAUUAAAAUAUUAAUGAAAAUAAGUUAGCAUUUUGGCACACAGCCUCUGAACAUAUCAGCCAAUCACAUUGAUAGAUUACAAUUCUGGUGGUCUUUCCCAAAUGAAAGAUACUAUUAGCUACUGGUGCCUCACACCACUGAUUAUGUUGUAUGCAUAAUGCUGCAACCUCUGCUCCUCUGAGGAAAGAACCUUGGAGCUAGAAAUGACAGCUGUUAAGCCAGAAAUAUCACACAUCCUCUUCCUACUGAGAUUUACAAAAAUUAGGGUUUUCUUGAAGACAAUGCCCAAUUUGGAAAUAAGCAAGCUUAAUGAAUUAACAAGUAUGUCUCAAUAGCCAUGCAAUCCUGUUAAUGUGAUAUUUGUAUAAAAAUAUUUUUUUUAUAAAGUUGUUUACCCUGAUUUGGUAAUAGUCAUUAAUAACUGUACUUUAUUGACAUUCCAUCUUUGCAUUAAUACUAGUUAUAAAAUUUGAGUUAUUCUGCUCUCGUGGAGUAGUAUACUGCUAACCUAUAAUUUCACUUAAUUAUGUGUGAUUUCUAUUAGAAAGAUGCAUGUUAUGAAAAACCAUUGUAAAAGAAUUUUUUUUACAAGAAUUACUAUACCAGUGCAUUGCAUCAUUUUCAUAAUUAAAACACUUAUUUCAUCAAGCAGAUAUUAGACUUAACAGGGUAAACAUUUACAUUUCUUAUUGGUGCAUUGCUGUCCUUUGAAUUUAUAAAAAAGAUAUGAUGGAUGCUAAAGCCAGAAAUAUCACACAGGUGUUUCUGGCAUGUUGCUUGUUAGAAAAUUUAUUUUAGACACACUUUCCUUGAUUUCUAGUUCCUUGAAGAAUCAGAUUAAAACAGCAGAUCAACAAAAAUUGCCUUGGAUUUCCUGUUGGAAGUACCAAAAAAAAAAAAAAAAAAAGACAGUAAUUUGCAUUACAGCUUAUGUAUGUGCUGUGAGCAAUGCGCGAAGAUGACUGUUAGCUUCUGGAGAGCUUGUCUUUUUUACUAUUCCCCUCCCCCCCCCCCCCCCUCCCCAGAUGUAUGUAACUGCAUGAAGUAGUAUAGUGGGAGGAUAUGAGAUGGGAAAUUUUGUGUCAGUGUUCACUCUUACAUUACUUCUUUUACUGUAUGUAGUGCUAUGUAUUUAAAAGUCCUUCAGAAUACUUGGUUUCUAUUGUUAUUUGUAUUAUUACUUCUGUAAGGUUUGUUUUGUUUGAAAACAGUUGCCUGUACUUGCUGGUUAUAAUAGAAAUCUGACAUUUCUUGUUUCCAAUACUCUCUGUACUUCCUGUAUGUCUUUGAGGAAGGAGGCAUUGCUAUCCUGUUGUGUACAGUGCAGAUUUUUUGUUCUUUUUUUAUUUACUGUUAUUGGUACAGAUUUUUUAAAAUAUACAUUUAGUGUACGGAUAUAUGUUACAGAGAGCUUGGUAAGACACACACUGAAAAAUUUUUGGUAACCCUUCUGCUAUGUUCAGUUAGUUGUGUGAGUAUAAUAAUGAGGAUUUUUCAGUGAGAAAGGUGUAAAUCACAUGUUUGCAUGCAUACAUACAGUUAUGUACAGUUAGUGUAUUUUACAAUAUAACAACAAUCUGAUUGAAGUGAGAUCUCAAAUUUUUAAUGUUCGUAUUUUUCUUUAUUUAUAUUGCCAGAAUUCAUGUAAUUUAAAGUGUAAUGUAGGUGUAGUGCAAAAUACAUUUGUAGCUUUGAGAUAUUAGUAGGGUAGUAAGGACAUCUGUUGCCAUGAUCUCCCCUCCACCCAUGUAUUGUAUAAUGCCCAACUUGAUUGGAAAGGGCAUUUCAGUGGCUUUAAAAUUCUUUGAAGACUUACAAAGAUUUUAUAGUGAUAAUGCCAUUUAAGUUAGACACUAACAAUAGGAGUGUGUCCUGUGUGUAAGAUUUAACAGAAAUAUCACUUUUUUU